rnacentral:rRNA from 1 species
UACCCUUGACAUGGUCGGAACCCUUGAGAGAUCAGGGGGUGCUCGAAAGAGAACCGAUACACAGGUGCUGCAUGGCUGUCGUCAGCUCGUGUCGUGAGAUGUUGGGUUAAGUCCCGCAACGAGCGCAACCCUUGUCCUUAGUUGCUACGCAAGGGCACUCUAAGGAGACUGCCGGUGACAAACCGGAGGAAGGUGGGGAUGACGUCAAGUCCUCAUGGCCCUUAUGGGUAGGGCUUCACACGUCAUACAAUGGUCGGUACAGAGGGUUGCCAACCCGCGAGGGGGAGCUAAUCCCAGAAAACCGAUCGUAGUCCGGAUUGCACUCUGCAACUCGAGUGCAUGAAGUUGGAAUCGCUAGUAAUCGCGGAUCAGCAUGUCGCGGUGAAUACGUUCCC